GCUAUACAUGCAAGUCGAACGAGAUUUAAGACUUCGGUUUUAAUGAAAGUGGCGCACGGGUGCGUAACGCGUAUGCAACCUACCCUAUACAGGGGGAUAGCCCGGAGAAAUCUGGAUUAAUACCCCAUGGUAUCAUUGAGCUGCAUGGUUUAAUGAUUAAAGAUUCAUCGGUAUAGGAUGGGCAUGCGUCUGAUUAGCUAGUUGGCGGUGUAACGGACCACCAAGGCGACGAUCAGUAGGGGUUCUGAGAGGAAGGUCCCCCACACUGGCACUGAGAUACGGGCCAGACUCCUACGGGAGGCAGCAGUAGGGAAUAUUGGGCAAUGGACGAGAGUCUGACCCAGCCAUGCCGCGUGCAGGAAGACGGCGUUCUGCGUUGUAAACUGCUUUUAUCUGGGAAGAAAAGGCCCUUGCGAGGGACAUUGCCGGUACCAGAUGAAUAAGCACCGGCUAACUCCGUGCCAGCAGCCGCGGUAAUACGGAGGGUGCAAGCGUUGUCCGGAUUUAUUGGGUUUAAAGGGUGCGUAGGCGGCUGUUUAAGUCAGUGGUGAAAGACUCCGGCUCAACCGGAGCAGUGCCAUUGAUACUGGACAGCUUGAGUAUUGGAGGGGUACAUGGAAUUGAUGGUGUAGCGGUGAAAUGCAUAGAUACCAUCAGGAACACCGAUAGCGAAGGCAUUGUACUGGCCAAUAACUGACGCUGAUGCACGAAAGCAUGGGUAGCGAACAGGAUUAGAUACCCUGGUAGUCCAUGCCGUAAACGAUGAUUACUCGCUGUUAUGCCUUUAUGGUGUAGCGGCCAAGCGAAAGCGUUAAGUAAUCCACCUGGGGAGUACGCUCGCAAGAGUGAAACUCAAAGGAAUUGACGGGGGUCCGCACAA
rnacentral:rRNA from 1 species